AUGGCUGUCGUCAGCUCGUGUCGUGAGAUGUUGGGUUAAGUCCCGCAACGAGCGCAACCCUCAUCUUUAGUUGCCAUCAGGUUAAGCUGGGCACUCUAAAGAAACUGCCGGUGAUAAGCUGGAGGAAGGCGGGGAUGACGUCAAGUCCUCAUGGCCCUUACGGUCUGGGCUACACACGUGCUACAAUGGUGGUGACAGUGGGCAGCUAUGUCGCAAGACAAAGCUAAUCCCCAAAAGCCAUCUUAGUUCAGAUUGGACUCUGCAACUCGAGUCCAUGAAGUUGGAAUCGCUAGUAAUCGUAGAUCAGCAUGCUACGGUGAAUACGUUCUCGGGCCUUGUACACACCGCCCGUCACGUCAUGGGAAUUGGUUUUACCUUAAGCCGGUGCGCUAACCGCAAGGAAGCAGCCGUCCACGGUAGGGUCAGUGACUGGGACGAAGUCGUAACAAGGUAUCCGUAGGGGAACCUGCGGAUGGAUCACCUCCUUUCUAAGGAUGAUUAAAAGUAAAAUUUUAAUCUAAAUAAUAUACAGGUUAAUGUUGACCGUCCUCAUUUCUCUUCUUAAUACAGUGUUUCUCUUCUGCAUGGGGGCCGGUAGCUCAGUUGGUUAGAGCACACCCUUGAUAAGGGUGGGGUCGAUAGUUCGAGUCUAUCUCGGCCCACCAAAAAUUUACUGGGGGAUUAGCUCAGCUGGGAGAGCGCCUGAUUUGCAUUCAGGAGGUCAGCGGUUCGAUCCCGCUAUCCUCCACCAAGAAACACUUAGUUAUUUAAUUUGUGAAUAUAUAAUUAUUAUCAAUAUCUAUAUCCGAACAUUAGUUGAUUAUUUAAUUAAUGUUCAAAUAAAAAAUUUGAUUCAAAACACAGAAAUUUAUUCUGUGCAUAAAUCAAGCGUUUAAGGGCGUGUGGCGGAUGCCUUGGCACUGAAAGACGAUGAAGGACGUGGUAUACUGCGAUAAGUUUCGGGGAGCCGUAUACAGGCUUUGAUCCGAAAAUUUCCGAAUGGGGAAACCCGG
rnacentral:sRNA from 1 species